AUUGAACGCUGGCGGCAGGCCUAACACAUGCAAGUCGAACGGUAACAGGAAGCAGCUUGCUGCUUCGCUGACGAGUGGCGGACGGGUGAGUAAUGUCUGGGAAGCUGCCUGAUGGAGGGGGAUAACUACUGGAAACGGUAGCUAAUACCGCAUAAUGUCGCAAGACCAAAGAGGGGGACCUUCGGGCCUCUUGCCAUCGGAUGUGCCCAGAUGGGAUUAGCUUGUUGGUGGGGUAACGGCUCACCAAGGCGACGAUCCCUAGCUGGUCUGAGAGGAUGACCAGCCACACUGGGACUGAGACACGGUCCAGACUCCUACGGGAGGCAGCAGUGGGGAAUAUUGCACAAUGGGCGCAAGCCUGAUGCAGCUAUGCCGCGUGUAUGAAGAAGGCCUUCGGGUUGUAAAGUACUUUCAGCGGGGAGGAAGGGAGUAAAGUUAAUACCUUUGCUCAUUGACGUUACCCGCAGAAGAAGCACCGGCUAACUCCGUG
rnacentral:rRNA from 1 species